rnacentral:rRNA from 1 species
GACAUCCACGAAAGUUUUCAGAGAUGUGAAUGUGACUUCGGGAACCGUGAGACAGGAGCUGCAUAGCUGUCGUCAGCUCGUGUUGUGAAAUGUUGGGUUAAGGCCCGCAACGAGCGCAACCCUUAUCCUUUGUUGCCAGAGGUCCGGCCGGGAACUCAAAGGAGACGGCAAGUUAUAAACUGGAGGAAGGUGGGCAUGACGUCAAGUCAUCAUGGCCCUUACGACCAGGGCUACACACGUUCUACAAUGG